GACAGAGGGUGCGAACGUUGCUCGGAAUCAUUGGGCGUAAAGCGCGUGUAGGUGGCUCGCCACGUCGGAUGCGAAAGCCCGGGGCUCAACCCCGGCAGUGCAUCCGAAACGAGGGAGCUAGAGUGCUGGAGAGGCGGGUGGAAUUCCCGGUGUAGAGGUGAAAUUCGUAGAUAUCGGGAGGAACACCGGUGGCGAAGGCGACCCGCUGGCCAGCGACUGACACUGAGACGCGAAAGCGUGGGGAGCAAACAGG
rnacentral:rRNA from 1 species